GACAGAGGCCCCGAGCGUUAGGCGGAAUCACUGGGCUUAAAGCGCGUGUAGGCGGAGGGCUAAGUACCUUGUGAAAUCCCCGGGCUCAACCCGGGAACUGCUGGGUAUACUGGUCUUCUUGAGGCAUCUAGGGGCGAGCGGAACAAACGGUGGAGCGGUGAAAUGCGUAGAUAUCGUUUGGAACGCCAAUGGUGAAAACAGCUCGCUGGGGAUGUCCUGACGCUGAGACGCGAAAGCCAGGGGAGCAAACGGG
rnacentral:rRNA from 1 species